UGAGUUUGAUCAUGGCUCAGAUUGAACGCUGGCGGCAGGCCUAACACAUGCAAGUCGAACGGUAACAGGAAACAGCUUGCUGUUUCGCUGACGAGUGGCGGACGGGUGAGUAAUGUCUGGGAAACUGCCUGAUGGAGGGGGAUAACUACUGGAAACGGUAGCUAAUACCGCAUAACGUCGCAAGACCAAAGAGGGGGACCUUCGGGCCUCUUGCCAUCAGAUGUGCCCAGAUGGGAUUAGCUAGUAGGUGGGGUAACGGCUCACCUAGGCGACGAUCCCUAGCUGGUCUGAGAGGAUGACCAGCCACACUGGAACUGAGACACGGUCCAGACUCCUACGGGAGGCAGCAGUGGGGAAUAUUGCACAAUGGGCGCAAGCCUGAUGCAGCCAUGCCGCGUGUAUGAAGAAGGCCUUCGGGUUGUAAAGUACUUUCAGCGGGGAGGAAGGGAGUAAAGUUAAUACCUUUGCUCAUUGACGUUACCCGCAGAAGAAGCACCGGCUAACUCCGUGCCAGCAGCCGCGGUAAUACGGAGGGUGCAAGCGUUAAUCGGAAUUACUGGGCGUAAAGCGCACGCAGGCGGUUUGUUAAGUCAGAUGUGAAAUCCCCGGGCUCAACCUGGGAACUGCAUCUGAUACUGGCAAGCUUGAGUCUCGUAGAGGGGGGUAGAAUUCCAGGUGUAGCGGUGAAAUGCGUAGAGAUCUGGAGGAAUACCGGUGGCGAAGGCGGCCCCCUGGACGAAGACUGACGCUCAGGUGCGAAAGCGUGGGGAGCAAACAGGAUUAGAUACCCUGUAGUCCACGCCGUAAACGAUGUCGACUUGGAGGUUGUGCCCUUGAGGCGUGGCUUCCGGAGCUGACGCGUUAAGUCGACCGCCUGGGGAGUACGGCCGCAAGGUUAAAACUCAAAUGAAUUGACGGGGGCCCGCACAAGCGGUGGAGCAUGUGGUUUAAUUCGAUGCAACGCGAAGAACCUUACCUGGUCUUGACAUCCACGGAAGUUUUCAGAGAUGAGAAUGUGCCUUCGGGAACCGUGAGACAGGUGCUGCAUGGCUGUCGUCAGCUCGUGUUGUGAAAUGUUGGGUUAAGUCCCGCAACGAGCGCAACCCUUAUCCUUUGUUGCCAGCGGUCCGGCCGGGAACUCAAAGGAGACUGCCAGUGAUAAACUGGAGGAAGGUGGGGAUGACGUCAAGUCAUCAUGGCCCUUACGACCAGGGCUACACACGUGCUACAAUGGCGCAUACAAAGAGAAGCGACCUCGCGAGAGCAAGCGGACCUCAUAAAGUGCGUCGUAGUCCGGAUUGGAGUCUGCAACUCGACUCCAUGAAGUCGGAAUCGCUAGUAAUCGUGGAUCAGAAUGCCACGGUGAAUACGUUCCCGGGCCUUGUACACACCGCCCGUCACACCAUGGGAGUGGGUUGCAAAAGAAGUAGGUAGCUUAACCUUCGGGAGGGCGCUUACCACUUUGUGAUUCAUGACUGGGGUGAAGUCGAAACAAGGUAACCGUAGGGGAACCUGCGGUUG
rnacentral:rRNA from 1 species